AACGAACGCUGGCGGCAGGCCUAAUACAUGCAAGUCGAGCGAGAAGCUAUCUUCGGGUAGUGGAGAGCGGCGAACGGGUGAGUAACGCGUAGGUAUCUACCCAGUAGUGGGGAAUAACCAUUGGAAACGAUGGCUAAAACCGCAUAAGCCCUAAGGGGGAAAACUGAGGUGCUAUUGGAGGAACCUGCGUUAGAUUAGCUAGUUGGUGGGGUAAAGGCUCACCAAGGCGACGAUCUAUAGCUGGUUUGAGAGGAUGAUCAGCCACACCGGAACUGAGACACGGUCCGG
rnacentral:rRNA from 1 species